rnacentral:lncRNA from 1 species
GUGUUUGUAAGAGCUGAUACAAGAGGAUUAAUGUUUAAGCACUCAUGUUGUAAGACAUGAAAGACUAGCAUUCAGGGACUUAUCCUCUUUUCCUCUUCCUAUUGCAGUGGAUUGAACCUAUAAGUUCACAUUGUGCGGAAAAACGUCAAUACCACCAGCCACUUGAUGUACAGGGAAAUGUUUGAUGCCAGGAAGAGCUCUCACAUCCCCUGGAAGCAGAGCGACAGGAGCGUGCUGAGUUCCUCCCAGGGCUCUGGAGAGCACUGCAGAGCCAGCUCCCACCACAGCACACCAAAUGCUGAGGAAAAGCUUUUUUAUUUUGUUUACAUGCACUUCUACUUGAGUCUCCUGCCAUUUAAUUUGUAAGUAGGUGACGGCUGCAAGUUUAUUACUAUUCUGUCAGAAAGAAGAAUUCGGUGCUCUAUAUUGUCUUCACUGUGUCAUCUCAUUUAUGCCACCUUGCUUGCUCUUCUGAAGUUGGUCAUUUAGGGAUUCUUUCAAAGGUGACUCUAGCAGCACACUCUCUCCAUCAGUUCAAGUAUUUUGCUCUCCAUCUUCUUCAGUAAACAAAGAGCCUGUGCUUGCUUCAUCAGAGAACAGAAUUGUCUGCCCACUAUGUGAACCCUCUUUCCUUUGGCUGACUAUGUAUGCAAAUUUGAUGCUCCGUUUUUCUCAGUAGAAUUUUCAUUUUAUGAUUUUAAGAUGAUUUUAAGAGUUGCAUAAUCUUUCU